AAAGUUCGUAUAAAGCCCUAAAAAGAGAACAUUUCAGUUCAAAUUUUCACGCAGAAAUCAUAGAUUAACGCAUCAAUUUUGUCUUUGGAAAAGAGAGCGAGCCAAUGAAAGUCAAGAUUUUGCAUGGCAUGCAGUUGCUUCGUGGACAUGGGACGCUCAGGACGAAACUUGUGGAAUAUGUAGGAUGGCUUUUGAUGGCUGUUGUCCUGAUUGCAAACUCCCUGGUGACGAUUGUCCACUAAUAUGGGGUGCUUGCAACCAUGCAUUUCAUCUUCAUUGUAUCUUGAAGUGGGUAAAUUCUCAAUCGGCUCAAGCACAUUGCCCUAUGUGUCGUCGUGAAUGGCAGUUUAAAGAAUGAAAAAAAAUUAUAUGCAUCUUUUGCUCAUGAAUGAAGGAACGAAUCAUAACUCUGCUUCAUUCUUCUUGGGACGGGGUAAAAGCGCCUGUUUUUUAAUUGUACUUUGAGUUGUGGUGUCUGUAUGUGUGUAAUACUAGGAUAUUCUAGCAAGCAUAGCUGAUAGCUGUGUUGAUAUGUGCUCAUCCCCAUAUACAAUUAUUAGUUUUAAGGCCAAAAAUAGGUAGCGUGUCUGUAUCAGCAUUGGAAGGUGGUGCAGAUGUUGUAUGAGCCGUGCAUCCUGAGUCUUCAAUACAUCAAUGCCCAACCAUUGAUUGAGAAGAAAAGGACAUACUGGACGCUGGGCUGCCUGUCAUUGUUAGUCAGGCUGCCUUUACAACAGUAUUAAUAGACUCUUAACAUAUUAGUGCCUUUUGACAGUCCUUUGUCCAUGAGCUAUCAGGCACAUAUAGGCAUGGACCGUGACAUAGUUGGCGUAAGGACAAUAUUUCGUUAUCAUCUCGGUUGUAUUAUGUUUGUGAAUUGAAAAUAUCUUGAGGUGUUUGGGAAUAUGAUUUCCGGAUUCUGGUAUUUCCUCUUUC